GACAGAGGUGCCGAGCGUUAGGCGGAAUCACUGGGCUUAAAGCGUGUGUAGGCGGGUGGCUAAGUUCCUUGUGAAAUCCCACGGCUCAACCGUGGAACUGCUCGGUAUACUGGGUAUCUUGAGCCACUUAGGGGCAACCGGAACAAACGGUGGAGCGGGGAAAUGCGUAGAUAUCGGGAAGAACACCCGUGGCGAAGGCGGCACUCUGGGACGGUACUGACGCUGAGACGCGAAAGCGUGGGGAGCGAACAGG
rnacentral:rRNA from 1 species